GAUGAACGCUAGCUACAGGCUUAACACAUGCAAGUCGAGGGGAAACGACAUCGAAAGCUUGCUUUUGAUGGGCGUCGACCGGCGCACGGGUGAGUAACGCGUAUCCAACCUGCCCAUCACUUGGGAAUAACCUUGCGAAAGUAAGACUAAUACCCAAUGACAUCCCACGAAGACAUCUGAAUGGGAUUAAAGAUUUAUCGGUGAUGGAUGGGGAUGCGUCUGAUUAGCUUGUUGGCGGGGUAACGGCCCACCAAGGCAACGAUCAGUAGGGGUUCUGAGAGGAAGGUCCCCCACAUUGGAACUGAGACACGGUCCAAACUCCUACGGGAGGCAGCAGUGAGGAAUAGUGGUCAAGGGGCGAGAGCCUGAACCAGCCAAGUAGCGUGCAGGAUGACGGCCCUAUGGGUUGUAAACUGCUUUUAUAAGGGAAUAAAGUGGGUCUCGGGAGACUUUUUGCAUGUACCUUAUGAAUAAGGACCGGCUAAUUCCGUG
rnacentral:rRNA from 1 species